AAUCUUUCCUUGCAGCCCCAGGCCUCAUGGAGGACAGAUGGGGGCUAGGAGGGUCAAGGGUGAUGGAUCGGGGUGCCAGGGAAAGUGGGGUAACCAGCUGAGAAGGGGAUUGGCCGCACCAGUAUAGACCUUCAUGCAGUCUGUAGAUGAAUUUCUUUCAAGGUGUGGGGGGCAGGUAGGGUACAGGAUUACAGGGAGCCAAAGGAGAAAAAGCAAAUAUGAUCCGUGUCAUUUAUUUUUGCCCAAGUUCCAGCUGGGUAGCAGCCAAGAAGUUCACAGAGGGCUUCGGACUUGCUCCUUCACAUCAGAACCCGGAACUGUCGCACUGUUUUCCAUAGCAGCUGCACCAGUUUACAUUCACAUCAGCAGUGCACAGGUGGAACCCGCUUUUAAAGAACAGUUAACACGGAACAAAGUUUGAG
rnacentral:lncRNA from 1 species